rnacentral:rRNA from 1 species
AACUUAAAGAGCCGCGGUAUUUUGACCGUGCAAAGGUAGCAUAAUCAUUAGUUUUUUAAUUGGAAACUUGUAUGAAUGGUUAAACAAAAGAAGGUCUGUCUCUUUAUUUAAUUUUGAAUUUAACUUUUAAGUGAAAAGGCUUAAAUUUUUUAAGGGGACGAUAAGACCCUAUAAAGCUUUAUAAUGAAAUAUUAUUUUUUUAAAAUAGUUUAUAAAAAUAAAAUAAUAUAACUUUAUUUUGUUGGGGCGACACAGAUAUAAGUAAUAUUUAACUGUCAGGAAAAAAUACAUAAAUUUAUGAGUUAAUAAAUUGAUCCUAUUUAAAGAUUAAAAGACUAAGUUACUUUAGGGAUAACAGCGUUAUUUCUUUUGAGAGUUCUUAUUGAAAAAGAAGUUUGCGACCUCGAUGUUGAAUUAAAGAAUCUUUAUAGUGCAGCCGUUAUAAGAAGAGGGUCUGUUCGACCUUUAAAUCUUUA